CACUUAAAGUUUGACCCCCCGAAACUAAGCGAGCUACUUUACAACAGCCCACAGAGCCAACCCGUCCCUGUUACAAAAGGGUGGGAGGAUUUUAAAGUAGAGGUGACACACCCAUCGAGCCUAGAGAUAGCUGGUUAUUCAGGAAAAGGAUUUAAGUCCACCUUUAAGCCUCUUUAGUAACCCUAAACACACCAACAACUUAAAAGCCAUUCAAAUAGGGUACAGCCCAUUUGAACAAGAAAACAGCCUACUAUACAGGGUACUGACCACACACGUGAUCAAGUAGGCCUAAAAGCAGCCAACUUCCAAAAAGCGUCUAAGCUUCUCCACAAACUAUCCCCAAUCCCACAAUCAAAACACAACCCGCACCCAAUACUGAAUGAUCCCAUACCCCCCCCCUAUGAGAGACAUCAUGCUAGAACUAGUAACAAGAAGCAAGAACUUCUCCAAAAUGUAAGCAUAAGCCAAAAUGAACCCACCACCGGCACCCACCGCCCACCCCCCAGUAUCAGCCCCCCAAGAAAAGCCUACUCCACCA
rnacentral:rRNA from 1 species